GCCUGCCUAGCUCAAUCGGAUAGAGCGUCAGACUCUUACCUUGACCUGGAAGCGGGUAUCUGAAGGCUGCGAGUUCGACCCUCGCGGUGGGCU